GGUUCAGGAUGAACGCUAGCGACAGGCUUAACACAUGCAAGUCGAGGGGCAUCACGGGAGUAGCAAUACAACUGGUGGCGACCGGCGCACGGGUGAGUAACGCGUAUGCAACCUACCUAUCAGAGGGGAAUAACCCGGCGAAAGUCGGACUAAUACCGCAUAAAACAGGGGCACCGCAUGGUGAUAUUUGUUAAAGAAAUUCGCUGAUAGAUGGGCAUGCGUUCCAUUAGGUAGUUGGUGAGGUAACGGCUCACCAAGCCGACGAUGGAUAGGGGAACUGAGAGGUUGGUCCCCCACACUGGUACUGAGACACGGACCAGACUCCUACGGGAGGCAGCAGUGAGGAAUAUUGGUCAAUGGGCGGGAGCCUGAACCAGCCAAGUCGCGUGAAAGGAAGAAGGAUCUAUGGUUCGUAAACUUCCUUUGCAGGGGAAUAAAGUGCAGGACGUGUCCUGUUUUGUAUGUACCCUGAGAAUAAGGAUCGGCUAACUCCGUGCCAGCCGCAGC
rnacentral:rRNA from 1 species